rnacentral:pre_miRNA from 1 species
GAUUUUCUUAUUUUUAAAAGGUUCAGUUAGGUCCUUUAUUUUUUAAAAUGGGUUCAAUUUGGUCCCACUUAAACUCAUUUUUUGAAAAUGUUCGAAGCUGUUGGAAGAAAAUGGGACCAACCCAAUUUAAAAAAUAAAAGACCUAAUUGAACCUUUUAAAAAUAAAGGGACCA